AACGAACGCUGGCGGCAUGCCUAACACAUGCAAGUCGAACGGGAUCCAGGCUUCGGCCUGGUGAGAGUGGCGGACGGGUGAGUAACGCGUGGGAACCUGCCCAAUGGUCUGGGAUAACCGCGGGAAACUGCGGCUAAUACCGGAUAAGCCCGAGAGGGAAGAUUAUCGCCGAUGGAGGGCCGCGUCAGAUUAGGUAGUUGGUGGGU
rnacentral:rRNA from 1 species